rnacentral:rRNA from 1 species
GUGACAGCCCCGUACACAAAAAUGCACAUACUGUGAGCUCGAUGAGUAGGGCGGGACACGUGGUAUCCUGUCUGAAUAUGGGGGGACCAUCCUCCAAGGCUAAAUACUCCUGACUGACCGAUAGUGAACCAGUACCGUGAGGGAAAGGCGAAAAGAACCCCGGCGAGGGGAGUGAAAAAGAACCUGAAACCGUGUACGUACAAGCAGUGGGAGCACGCUUAGGCGUGUGACUGCGUACCUUUUGUAUAAUGGGUCAGCGACUUAUAUUCUGUAGCAAGGUUAACCGAAUAGGGGAGCCGAAGGGAAACCGAGUCUUAACUGGGCGUUAAGUUGCAGGGUAUAGACCCGAAACCCGGUGAUCUAGCCAUGGGCAGGUUGAAGGUUGGGUAACACUAACUGGAGGACCGAACCGACUAAUGUUGAAAAAUUAGCGGAUGACUUGUGGCUGGGGGUGAAAGGCCAAUCAAACCGGGAGAUAGCUGGUUCUCCCCGAAAGCUAUUUAGGUAGCGCCUCGUGAAUUCAUCUCCGGGGGUAGAGCACUGUUUCGGCAAGGGGGUCAUCCCGACUUACCAACCCGAUGCAAACUGCGAAUACCGGAGAAUGUUAUCACGGGAGACACACGGCGGGUGCUAACGUCCGUCGUGAAGAGGGAAACAACCCAGACCGCCAGCUAAGGUCCCAAAGUCAUGGUUAAGUGGGAAACGAUGUGGGAAGGCCCAGACAGCCAGGAUGUUGGCUUAGAAGCAGCCAUCAUUUAAAGAAAGCGUAAUAGCUCACUGGUCGAGUCGGCCUGCGCGGAAGAUGUAACGGGGCUAAACCAUGCACCGAAGCUGCGGCAGCGACGCUUAUGCGUUGUUGGGUAGGGGAGCGUUCUGUAAGCCUGUGAAGGUGUACUGUGAGGUAUGCUGGAGGUAUCAGAAGUGCGAAUGCUGACAUAAGUAACGAUAAAGCGGGUGAAAAGCCCGCUCGCCGGAAGACCAAGGGUUCCUGUCCAACGUUAAUCGGGGCAGGGUGAGUCGACCCCUAAGGCGAGGCCGAAAGGCGUAGUCGAUGGGAAACAGGUUAAUAUUCCUGUACUUGGUGUUACUGCGAAGGGGGGACGGAGAAGGCUAUGUUGGCCGGG